rnacentral:tRNA from 1 species
GCUCGGAUACCUCAGUCUGUUAGAGGACCUCACCCUAAAGAGGCAGUCGGUGGUUCAAAUCCAUCUCCGGGCA